GCACCGGUGGUGUAUGGAACGCGCACCAGUGAUGUGUAGGGCCGGUGAUGUCUGCAUAAGUGUAUUACAAUGAUGAGACGGGGUUCGAUUCUCCGCCGGUGCA